GGUGAACGCUAGCUACAGGCUUAACACAUGCAAGUCGCGGGGCAGCAUGGGGGUUGCUUGCAAUCCCCGAUGGCGACCGGCGCACGGGUGAGUAACGCGUAUCCAACCUGCCCUUCACCACGGGAUAACCCGGCGAAAGUCGGACUAAUACCGUAUGUUGUCCAUUGACGGCAUCCGAUUUGGACGAAAGGCUUGGCGGUGAGGGAUGGGGAUGCGUCCGAUUAGCCAGACGGCGGGGUAACGGCCCACCGUGGCUACGAUCGGUAGGGGUUCUGAGAGGAAGGUCCCCCACACUGGAACUGAGACACGGUCCAGACUCCUACGGGAGGCAGCAGUGAGGAAUAUUGGUCAAUGGGCGUAAGCCUGAACCAGCCAAGUAGCGUGCAGGAUGACGGCCCUAUGGGUUGUAAACUGCUUUUAUGCGGGGAUAAAGUGGCCCACGUGUGGGCUUUUGCAGGUACCGCAUGAAUAAGGACCGGCUAAUUCCGUG
rnacentral:rRNA from 1 species